AACUGAAAUCAUAUUUCAACUUGGGUCUGAAGAGAAAGGAUGUUUUUUUUCAGUGUUAAUUUGGGCUAAAAGAGAAGAUUUCUGCCUUGAAAGAACAGGCGAGGAGUCUGCAGAACGACGUCACGGCUGAGUUUGCCGAAAUGCACCAGAGCCUCAGUGACACGGAGCAGUGUGUAAUGCGAGAGCUCAGAGAGUGAGAGGAGGAAAUGUUAUAGGGUUUGAAGAGGCGUUAAAAUCUAUAGACCCAGAAUUAGUAACGUUACAGCGGCAAAUGGAUGAACAGGACAUGGGGUCCUUUCUGAGGGAGGAAGAUUCUCGGAAGAUCAGUGUUAGUGAAGACUGGAUCGAGCCAUCAGUGUUACGAGGAGAUUUGACUCUGGCAAAGACUUCACAGUGUGGAGAGAAAUGAUCCACAUGAUCAGCCUUGGUGAACAGUUCCAGACUCGUCCCUCACUAUAAAGCCCUCACUGUGUGGUAGAUGCAGAGAGUUGUUUUUGGUCAGCAGUUGGGUGUCUGACACACACGGAAACCCAUCACCAUGCUUCUGAGUCUCUGAACCAGUCUGAGAGUUGCAUAUACAUAUGCCACCUCCACAUGGAAAUUUCCCUGUGUCUCACCAGUCCUGACUGUGGGCUCCAGGAGGUCACCACCUCACACAGACAGACAUUCAUCCAAAGAGAGACACGCACUCACAGACAC